UGGCUCAAAAGGGUAGGGCGCUGGUCCCAUAUGCCAGAGGUGGCUGGUUCAAACCCAGC
rnacentral:tRNA from 1 species